GAGGCACCGAUCACUGCUCCGUCAUCACGCACAAGGCCCACCAUGGCCAUAGGCUCUGGAGGCCAGUGCCU
ensembl:misc_RNA